GGCCGCUCCGCCCCCUCGGCUCCUCGGCGGCUCUGCGGGCGGACGCCGGGCGCAGGGAGCAGAGCUGAGCGGAGCGCCGCGCACCCCGCCGCGCCCCGGUGCACGUCCAGCCCUCCGCACAUGCAGCGCAGCCUCUCGCCGAUUGUAUGGUCCAGGCCUCGAUGAGGAGCCCAAAUAUGGAGACAUUCAAACAGCAGAAGGUGGAGGACUUUUAUGACAUCGGAGAGGAGCUGGGCAGUGGCCAGUUUGCCAUCGUGAAGAAGUGCCGGGAGAAGAGCACGGGGCUGGAGUACGCAGCCAAGUUCAUCAAGAAGAGGCAGAGCCGGGCCAGCCGUCGGGGCGUGUGCCGGGAGGAGAUCGAGCGGGAGGUGAGCAUCCUGCGGCAGGUGCUGCACCCCAACAUCAUCACGCUGCACGACGUCUAUGAGAACCGCACCGACGUGGUGCUCAUCCUUGAGCUAGUGUCCGGAGGAGAACUGUUUGAUUUCCUGGCCCAGAAGGAGUCGUUAAGUGAGGAAGAAGCCACCAGCUUCAUUAAGCAGAUCCUGGAUGGGGUGAAUUACCUUCAUACAAAGAAAAUUGCUCACUUCGAUCUCAAGCCGGAAAACAUUAUGUUGUUAGACAAGGAUAUCCCCGGUCCACAUAUCAAGCUCAUUGACUUCGGCCUGGCCCACGAAAUAGAAGAUGGAGUUGAAUUUAAAAACAUUUUUGGGACACCUGAGUUUGUUGCUCCAGAAAUCGUGAACUAUGAGCCACUGGGACUGGAGGCCGACAUGUGGAGCAUCGGAGUCAUCACCUACAUCCUUCUAAGUGGAGCAUCCCCCUUCCUGGGAGACACAAAGCAAGAAACCCUGGCAAAUAUCACUGCCGUGAGCUACGACUUUGAUGAGGAAUUCUUCAGCCAGACAAGCGAGCUGGCCAAGGACUUCAUCCGGAAGCUUCUGGUGAAAGAGACCCGGAAACGGCUUACCAUCCAAGAGGCCCUCAGACAUCCCUGGAUCACGUCAAAAGGAGAAGACAGAGCCCCUGAACAGUGGAAGACACAACCUGCCCAGCUGAAGACCAAACGCCUAAGAGAGUAUACCCUCAAAUGCCACUCAAGCAUGCCCCCCAACAACACUUACGUCAACUUUGAGCGUUUUGCUCACGUGGUAGAGGAUGUGGCGCGGGUAGACGAGGGGUGCCGUGCCCUAGCAGGAGCCCAUGACACCCUGCAGGAUGACGUGGAGUCCUUGGUCUCUAUCUACAAUGAGAAGGAGGCUUGGUACCGAGAGGAGAAUGAGAAUGCCCGCCACGACCUGUCCCAGCUCAAGUAUGAGUUCCGCAAAGUGGAGUCCCUGAAGAAGCUCCUGAGAGAAGACAUCCAGGCCACAGGGGCCAGCCUUGGCGGCGUGGCCAGGAAGCUAGACCAUCUGCACGUGCAGUUUGAGACGCUGAGGCAGCAGCUCUCAGCAGAAAUCCAGCGGAUGCAGGAACUGGUGGGCAUAUUCCAGCUGGAGAGUGGGAACACUGACGGCCACAGCCCAGGCUCCACGCUCUACCGGGGCAUCAGUGAGUCCCUGUCAGAGCUGCUCAGCAGAUCUCAUAUGGAGGGAAUCCUGGCCGGCUUGAGUCUCUGAGCACCAGGAUCUUGUCAGUAGUGCAUUCUCAGGGUUUUGUAGAAGCAUGGUGUCUUCCCCUCUGCCGGGGCAUCCAGCUGAAAGAGUCCGGCGGGUGUGUGUUUGCAGCCUUCCACUCCCUCUAGAGUUCCCUAGUGAGUGGACCUCUGCACCUCCAUCCCCAGCCUGGUUUGUUGAGAGGGCACUGGCAAAGCAGCCGAGCCGUAGAAACAAUUAGAAACAAUUAGAAAAUGUAUCCCCUCAGCAUGCCCUUCUCUGGGGGUGUCUUCUGGCCCCCAGGAGAUACUUUAUAGCUGGGUAAUGAUGAUGGGUUGGCUCACCUCUCACAUUCCAUGUGUGUGCCAUAUGAGUGAAGAUCUUGGGUAAUGACGGACAUAGCUAAGAAUAACUUGCUCAAUGGAGCACUUUCCUGUUACAGAGUCAGGGCUUUAAAAUACACAGAGAAAAUAUUAACUUUCUUUUAAAUUGUCUUCGCACUCAUCAGGUCUUUAUGUCUGUGGUCUUACUGGAUGCUUAAAGAACUCUGUGAGAUAAGGGCUGGGAUAUAGGUCAAUUUCUAGAGUACUUGCCUAGUGUCCACAAAGCCCUGGGUUUGGUGCCCAGCACAGCAUAAAGUGGGCUUGGUAGUAGUACACACCUCUAUUCCUGAGAUUUAAGAGGAAUCAGAAGGAUUGGGAGUUCAGAGCCAUCUCUCGCUACAUAUUGAGUUUGAGUUGAAGGCCAGCCUGGUCUAUAUGGGACCCUAUCUCUGCGGGGCAGGGGUCUGUGAGAUGAGAGUAAGGACAGUAUUGUUACUAUUGAUUUCCCUGUAACCGAUGAAGAAGUUGAUGCAGAGAAAGAACUGGCAUAGGAGUGUUCACAGCCAGUUGCCAACCCAGGGUGUUCAUCUUUGAUGUGAGGUGUGGAGGAAGAAGUUCAGUGAGGCUUAGCUGUAAAUAUCCAUCUUGAUAUUAGAGUUCAGAUCCCAGAGGCUAAGGGACUUUACAUGGAUAAUAAAGACAGGAGACACACAACAAGGAGGCAUUUGUUCUUGUAUACUAGGCCAGUGGGCCCUGAAGUCUGGGAAACCCCAGAGGGCUUUGGGGAGCACAAAGCUUACUGGUCAAUUCUAGCUCUAAAACUUUGAGCAUCAUGGGAAUAGUGUGAUGUCAUCUCCCCAUCCUAGGAGGAAGACCAAUCAAUAUAUUCAUGCAGAUAGCAUGUACACUAUGGACCCUGGACCCCACAUGGUACUAGAAACUAGGGGCACACUGUAAUGUUUCACCUCCAUAGCCUCACAAAAUAUCCAUUAGAUAUUAAUAUUAAAUAUUAUUCCCAGGUUAGGGAGAAAGCCAAGAAAGAAUGUGACAUGUCCUGUGUCGCAUUAGUGAUAACAGUGGGAGCCUUCUGAUGAGUCUGUCACUCUUUCUGAUUCCUUUAACUGCUUGGACUUUAGGAACUCACUUUGUGUUUGAGGAGGUGGGUGGUACCCAGUUCACCCAUCCAUUCAGACAUAGUUAGUACGCACCUGCCCGUUUCCAAAAAGAUGACUUGAGUCUGGGGAUGCAGUGUUAUGUAAUAUCAAGCUGGUUUUUCUACUUCCCUAGAGUUCUCAGUUGAGUGACAGAUUCUAGAAUUACUUACGAAUUAUACAAAUGCAGAACUCUAGCUGGUUCCUACGCUGUAAAAGAGAAGGGGGCAACAUUGUAAGGCCUGGAGAGACGGAGGGAGGGAGGAAGGGAGGGAUGUAGAUGGAGAUAGAGAAUUGCUCUGUUCAGGCAACCAUAUAUGGAGGACACUGGGACUGUGGUCAGCUAAGUAAACCAUGAGAGAGAGUUGUCCCCUGUAGGCUGUCAUGCCAAGGUUCUGUGAUGAGAAGGAAAUGGAAGGAAAGCCAAAGGAGAAAGAAUGGGGUGUGUAUAGUGUAGAGAGCAGGCAUGUAUACUGUAGAGAACAGGUAUGUAUAGGGUAGCGAGCUGAUCUGUGUAGUGUAGAGAACAGAUAUGUAUAGUGUAGAAAGCAGAUGUGUAUAGUGUAGAAAGCAGAUGUGUAUAGUGUAGAGAGCAGGUGUGUGUAAUGUAAAGAGCAGGUGUGUGUAGUGUAGAGAGCAGGUGUGUGAUGUAGAGAGCAGGUUUGUGUUGUAUAGAGAGCAGGUGUGUGUAGUGUAGAGAGCAGGUGUGUGUAGUGUGGAGAGCAGGUGUGUGUAGUGUGGAGAGCAGGUGUGUGUAGUGUAGAGAGCAGGCGUGUGUAGUGUGGAGAGCAGGCGUGUGUAGUGUAGAGAGCAGGUGUGUGUAGUGUGGAGAGCAGGUGUGUGUAGUGUAGAGAGCAGGUGUGUAUAGUGUAGAGAGCAGGUGUGUAUACUGUAGAGAACAGGGUAUGUUCAGUAGAGAGCAGGCUGAGAAAAUGCAGAGCCAGCAGGACUUUGGCAUGUUGAGUUCUGCCUUUGUUCUCAGGGUCACCAGACGCCAUUAAUGGGUCCUGGGCUAGUGUUGAAGGAGAAAUUCGCACAGACUAGAUUUUGACCUAAUAAAGUCAUUCUCUAGAAUCCUAUUGUUUUUUUUUUAAUUAGCAAGCUGGAUCAUUUAAAGUAUCAUAUAUAGUAACUGUAAUAGAAACCAUUUUAGUCAAAUAUAAGAAACCACAAUUUUAAGAUGCAUGAUUAUUUUAUGGAAAAUUAAGACAGAAAAAAAUCCUAUCAUGGGCAGUCUUCUAGGAGAGGCACGGGGAGAGGGUGAAUGAGAGACAGCACCACCACACAGAAGAGGGUGGCAAACACUCCUGGCUCAACUUUGACCCUAGGAAGAGAUGGAAAACCUUGGAGCAGGAGGCCUGGCUACCUUUGCAACAUUGCUCUUUGGGUUUGGACCACAUUGGUAUGAGCCUGAAGAACUUCGAGCAUGGACUGCUGUGGCCCACAGUCGAAGGCUGGGUGACCGCAUCUGACUCACUGAAGCCAUGCAGUCUUUUCUCCAGAUGACCUGCCUCACUCCAGGCCCACAGUGAUGAGAUGCUGCAUUGACUGGGAGAUGCUGAUGAUGUCUGCAGUUUGACGUUGCACAUCCUGGGAUGAAGGAAAGACUGCAGAACCCUGUGCUUUACGCUAAAGACAAAGGACUCUACAGUCCUGUGUGCCCUGUCAUGGGAUGUCACAUACUUGUUGGGUACAAGACACCACGAAUAUUAAAGCUUCCUUUGGACGCACCA